AUUGAACGCUGGCGGCAGGCCUAACACAUGCAAGUCGAGCGGAGUGGGGGACGGGUGAGUAAUGCCUAGGAAUCUGACUGGUAGUGGUGGAUGACGUACGGAAACGGGCGCUAAUACCGCAUAAUAUCUGUGGAGCCUAGGUGGGAUUAGCUAGUUGGUGGGGUAAAGGCCGACCAGGGCGACGAUCCGUACGUGGGCUGAGAGGAGGAUCAGGCACACUGGAACUGAGACACGGUCCAGACUCCUACGGGAGGCAGCAGUGGGGAAUAUUGGACAAUGGGCGAAAGCCUGAUCCAGCCAUGCCGCGUGUGUGAAGAAGGUCUUCGGAUUGUAAAGCACUUUAAGUUGGGAGGCGUUACCAACAGAAUAAGCACCGGCUAACUUCGUGCCAGCAGCCGCGGUAAUAC
rnacentral:rRNA from 1 species